GGGCUCGUAGCUCAAUGGUAGAGCGCUUGAUUCACAUUCAAGAGGUUGAUGGUUCGAUCCCAUCCGGGCUCA
rnacentral:tRNA from 1 species